UAAUGAUGAUGGUGGUGGUGGUGGUGGUGGUGGUGGUGGUGGUGGUGGUGGUAGUGGUAGGGAUGAGGUUGGUGGUGAUACCACCAUCAUCAUCAUCAUCAUCAUCAUCAUCAUCAUCA
rnacentral:pre_miRNA from 1 species